AGGCAGUUAGUUUAAUUAAAACAUUUGACUUCGGCUCAAAAACUUGCAGUUAAAGUCCGCAAUUGCUUU
rnacentral:tRNA from 1 species